GGGCUGACAGCUGAAGAGAGAGGAUGCACAUUUGCAAGCUCCAGCCUGGAAGCUGCUGAAGCCACCGCAGAAGUAUUCCAUGUUGUUCAGAGGAAACAAUGAAAAACUGUGAGAAGAAGUUUUAAAAAUGGAGGACCAUCUGCUAAAUGGCGCAGGGCGGACUGGCCCCGCACUGGGAAUGAGAGGGUCAACCCUUCCCUGCUGGCAGAGGAUGCCAUGCCCCUGAGGCUCUGCUGGGCAUGCUCCAACAGAGAGUCGAGUAUAAAAGCCUGCAGAGCUGCUCAGUUGGGGCUGGCAGCUGAGGAAGGAGGACGCCCAGUGGAGGCUCCAGCUCAGGAGCAGGGGCGACUCAUACAGGAGGGAGCCGAGAGGCAAGGAAGUGUGACCAGAGACUGGCAGCUUUGGGAGCCCCAGGGGCUGAGGAACCUGAAGACCCUGAUGCCACAGGGACUGCUACGUUUGGAGAACUGGUAGGAAGUGACCCAGGGAAGGGAAGGGAGUGGUAUCUCCCACCACUCUGAGAGCAGCGUGUUGCGGUAGGAUUCCCCGCUGACCUGGGGCGGAUCAGGCCAUCAAUGAUGGGGCCCUGGAUUGGAGCCUGGUAAAGGCGGGUGGGCCUGGGCUCCCCUACCGGGGGACUCUAACCCCACCCCCUUUUUGUGAUGACAUAGUUCACCGACCCCUCUCUAACCUCAAAGGAGAUAGAUGAACUCCGGCUGCUGGGCUGCACUAUCCUACGAGGGAAAAGGACUUAGAGGGACUCUGGCCCUCAGGCCACACUGCUUUAGGAGCACACUAUAGAGACUCCAGCCGCUAGGCCACGCUAUCCCACCAGAGGAAGAGAGUUUCGGGAGACUCUGGCCAUUGGGCCACGCUGCUUUAGGAGCACAAUAUAGGGACUCUGGCCGCUAGGCUGCGCUAUCCCAUACAGCCCUGAUUACCGGGAAGGUUGUAGAACCAGCAUAGAAGCCGUGAGGCAGGGUUAACCCCCCUCCCCGGAAUCAAAGGGGUCAACGAGGUACAAAACCCACCACAACAUCUUCAGUUUUCUCUAGUUCUUGUAAACAAACAGAGGAAGGAUGGGGCUCAAAAUCAACAGAUGUUUCUACUGAUAAGUGUAAGGAGCAAAGACUAGACAUGCGCAGGAAAAUCGGGUACAAGGACUUCUAGAUAUCCACCUCCUUUUGUUUCAGAUUGGACAGAACUUUCACUUGCUGCAACAGUGUCCAGAUUCCUUCAAAACUGCAUAAUCUGUUCCAACAGCACUGAGGGGUUUAUUCAGCUUUCAAACCAGUGUAAAGGCUUGAUCAUUCAGAGGUACUUAAAGUAGAUUGAUCUCUCAGGUGUGCUCUUCAUAAGGUUUAUCUCUUGAUUCUACAAGCUGUAGGUAUGGUAGUAAAGUCAAGCUACCUUGCUCAGCAACUGUGUAAAUCUGCUAUUGAAGGCAGUGCUAAGGAAGUGGUAGGAUGUUUAACUUCAAGGUAUAGAAUUUCACGGAUGACUGAAGCAGGUUUUUGUAGAAUUUAUUCAUUUAACUAACAACAAGAAAUAAUUUAUGAAAUAAAUACAGUAUUGGUGCUGCUGUAAUCUACCACCAGGCUUGUUUAUACACGGGCACUCAAGAAAGUUGAUCCAAAUACAUUUUUAAAGUAGAUUAGUUAAUACAUAUUAAAGCCCUCUGUGGAUACCUUUAGGGUAUGUUUUCACUUAAAAUGUAGUGUAGACACUCACUACAGUGACGGGAGGGGUUCUCCCCUUGCUGUAGUUAAUCCACCUCCCCAAGAGGUGGUAGCUAGGUCAAUGGAAGAGGUGGGUUAACUAUACAGAAGAAUUCUUCUGUUGACCUAAUACUCUCUACACUGGGGGUUAGGUUGGCAUGGUUUAUGUCUCUCAGGGAUGUGGAUUUUUCCAAAUAUAGACCAGCCCUUAUUCAGAAUUACAAUUCACUUAUGAAUUAAGGUAAACCAAAUUAAGUUCACUUUAAUUUUGAAUAAGAGUGUCUGCUCAGGGGUUUAAUGUAGUUUAACUAAUCCAUUUUUAAUUCACACCUUUUGUUAAUCCAGAUUAAUUUUCCUGAGUGGCCCAGUGUAGACAAGCCCUCAGCUUCAGCAACAGAUUCUAUUCUUUGCAUUUUGAGAUUUCAGUGGCAUUAGACUCAAUCUAAUUUAGUAAUUAGAUAAUUAUUCAAUAAUUAGAUAAUUUAAUUUUACAGCCUAUCACAUCAAAAAUGAUAAUGCAUCUUUAAAAAUUGGUAAGGUUGAGUCAGGAUUCCUGACAAAAUAAAAUAUCCUUGGCAUGUAAAGAGAAACAGGGCUAGAUCCCACCCUUCUAUAGCCUCUGUCUCAGACUGAGUUAUAGCUAAAGGAUAUAGAAACAAAGAAGACAAUAAAGUGACAAAAGGCAGCCCUGCUGGGUGCCACUAUGCAGUUGGAAAAGGCUGUUGCCAAGGCUUAUGAUCUCCCAUCUAACAAAAGAGCUGCCUAAACCAAAUUUUCCCAGCACUGCAAACAGAAAGCUCCGUUUCAUCAUGUUGACUGCUUUUUCUAUGUCCAUCAUCAAGAUAACUUCUGGCAGGCCUUCUGGGUCUGAGUUUCAAGGGUAGAUAAGAGACUAUAGGAAACAUCUGACAGAUAGUGGUAUGUUGUAAAGCCUGCCUACAUCACCUUGGGAAGUAGGCUAUCUGGCAUUAUGCUGAUGUUUUGAUUAAUAUUUUUAGCCUGCACUGAAUGAUAAGAUUGGUCUGUAAAAUUGGUAGCCUCGAGUCCCUUCCUGCAUUUUAAAAUACUGAAAUAAAUGCCAACUGAAUUUUCUUUUACCUUAUUGUUGUUCAAUCACAAAAUUAAAAGCUUUGCACACUGU